UACGGGGGGGCAAGCGUUGUUCGGAAUUACUGGGCGUAAAGGGCUCGUAGGCGGCCAACUAAGUCAGACGUGAAAUCCCUCGGCUUAACCGGGGAACUGCGUCUGAUACUGGUUGGCUUGAAUCCGGGAGAGGGAUGUGGAAUUCCAGGUGUAGCGGUGAAAUGCGUAGAUAUCCGGAGGAACACCGGUGGCGAAGGCGGCUUCCUGGACCGACACUGACGCUGAGGCGCGAAAGCUAGGGGAGCAAACGGG
rnacentral:rRNA from 1 species